UACGGAGGGUGCGAGCGUUAUCCGGAUUCACUGGGUUUAAAGGGAGCGUAGGCGGGCAUGUAAGUCAGUGGUGAAAUCUUGGGGCUCAACCCCCGAAACUGCCAUUGAUACUAUGUGCCUUGAAUGUCGUUGAGGUUUGCGGAAUAUGUCAUGUAGCGGUGGAAAUGCUUAGAUAUGACAUAGAACACCGAUUGCGAAGGCAGCAGGCUAAACGAAUAUUGACGCUGAGGCUCGAAAGCGUGGGGAGCAAACAGG
rnacentral:rRNA from 1 species